UCUACAACCAUAUAUACAUCACGCAUUAUAUUCAUUAAACAACUAAAUAUAUUAUGGAUAAACUUGAAAAGGAGAGAGGAUAGACAAAAUCUAACCAUCUUAAGCAACCUCAUUUUAUGAAAUAGAAAAAAAUAAUCUAGCUAUACUCUUCUCUCUCACAUGGUGAAAUCCUAGAUCCAAACUAUGACUAAAAUUGAGCAAGUUUGAACAAAAAAUGGUAAGAGAAACAUAAACCGACCUUUCUUAGUAACCUUCUUCCAAAGAAUGAAGAUCAAAAUCCCCCCCCCCCUUGUAUUUUGUGAAAUCUAGACCUCCAAAAUCACAUUUAAUGGAAGUUGGCUGCAAGCUACAGUUCCUGUCGGGAAGAGGUAAAGAGGUAUUUAUACAACAAAGUUUACAGGCGGUUGGAUAAGACAACCGCCAGUGGAAACCAAUUUCCACUUACGGUUUUCUUAAAGAAACAACAUAUUUCAACUAGCAGUUGGUGUAAGGCAAUCGCCAUUGGAAACUGGUGCCUAAUUGGGUCCACCAGUUUAUUAUCACUGGUGCUCGAUAACCGAAACUGCCAAUAAAAAGAACUCGUCGCAUGCUUAGAGCUCUUUUCUACUAGUGAGUUCUGGUAUUAACUUUCAUAAAUUGAGACUGGCCUUAAAAAUAUUACAUAGAACUAGAAGAGUAAAGACAUGGAAGACAUCGUAUAAAUUUCAUGAAUCCUCCUAGGAUAUUGUUAUUGGGUUUGUUCACAUGAUUACAUUGGAAAGGAUAUCUAGAAGUCCACCACAUGAGGCCUUGCAUUGUAUGGUUGUGUAACAACUCUGGCGUUACGAGAACUAAAACUUUGCCAUGACAUAAUAUGCACUGACAUUACAUUGCGUAUGAUAUACUUAGAAUGCAUUCACCAGGCAAAAAUUUCAAAACAAAAACAUGUGAUGUGAUGCUUGUUUGAGGGUAUGAUCUGGUAAGGGGAUCCUUAACUCUAGGUAGGAGUAAAUCUCUCCAAGACCAGUAGCAUGUGACCUUAUGUUUUAAACACAAAUGAGUGAUCUUUCCAAGCUUGGUAGACAUGUUUAAGAAAUAAGGAUUUGGAGAGGUUAAGCACUUGAAAGUACCUUAGGACACCCAAAACCCUAAUUUGGGAUCCAGAAACCCUAAUUAGUGUGAUUUCAAAUUCUAAGCACUUUUUGCCAAAAGUGUAUAUACCAAAGUGAUAGAGCAAUAAAAACUAAGAAAUUUUUAUACUGGUAGAUUUCCAAGUUUUGUAGAGAAACUUGGAGUAAAUUGCAAAAGUUCACAAGCACCUCCAUUCUUGAAUCCUGAAAAACAGUGCUAUUGAGCCAACUUUGGGCUCUUAAGGAAUUUACUAUAAGUCUGGCAAAGUUGUAGAGCUACAAUUGUAGUACACAUUUGAUUAAUUGAUCUAGCCCGAAUACCAUAUGGAACCUAGUGUAAAAUGUCCCCAAAGUGUGGCUGUCAGACUGGGGAUGGUUCUGAAACUGAGUUUUCAGUGACAAUUCUCCAACUUUGAAGCUAAAUUGUGGUUGAUCUAGUGAGGUUAAGACCAUGGUCAUUAUGGCAAAGAUGAAGACUAUAUAUAUGAGUACAACUUUGCUAAAGCCGAGCAGGUAUGUUGCUGUUUGGAACAAAGAGUAAAAGUGACCCAAACUUGCUCGGUCAGGCGGUUUUGAUGGGGCAUUCAGAAUAAACAGUAAUUGAAAAAGAUCUUCGGUUCUGAGAACCCAACGCCGACGAUCUUAUGCCGUAAUCCGAGCUCGCCUAGAAGAUUCGUGCUCAGUAAGAAGCGGAUAACACUGGGAGAGGUGAAAAGAUCUACGGAGGGGUGGAUUUGGUCACUGGCCGGCUCGACCACCGUAUCCACUUGCCCGCGCGGUCGGACGAGUUGUCGCUGCCGGAGGCUGCCAUUUCUCCUUACACAUCACGCAAGUGCAUGCUUACCACGUCACUGUAAAUGUGGCCGACGGUGAAACACAUCCCAGAGCCCUUUGUUUACUCGCGCGCCACGACACAUGAACACCAGAGAGUUAUCAGGUCGUCUAGUGAACUCGACCUCGGCCAAAUUCACGGAACUAGAAGUCGACUUCUUUAAAUUGAGUGUCAUGCCAGCUUAGCCCAUCCAUCGCGAACCCAGUCCACCGCGCACUACUCUGUUUCGUCCAUCAGAGCGUGAGUUCACAGGAGUUCCCUGAAAUCGGUCGUCAGCGCCACCGUGAUACCCUCCGCCGUGGCCAGAGCUGUUCAGGUCAGUUCAUGCUCCUCUGGUCCAUGUUUUAGCAUCUUCUGGUGCUAGUGAAGCUCAUUGAGCUUCCCGAUUGAACUCUACCAUAGUAGAUCAGCCAGAAUAGAUCAUCGUCAUUACUGAACACCGCCGGAACCAGCCUUCACGUCGACUAGCUCUUCUGCGCUUCCUCCGUUCAACUUCGCGCGAGUACUGCAACUCUGGUGAGCCAAUGCUGCUUUUCAAGUCGGUGAAUUAAACGCUACCGCAUGGAGCCGCUAGGAACAAGCUCGCCGGAGCUUUAGCUCCGCCGUUGUCGUGAACAAACAUGGAUUUUGGGCAGACCAGUCAAAUUAGCUUCGGUAUUAUGCUUGGGAUUGUCUCUGGAAUGGUGUUCGGGUACCCGCUAUCAUUGGUUGUGGUCACUGGCUAUGAGUCCCGCGACCGGAGCCAGGUGUUCGACCGGGGUCAGUGCGGGGGUGCUGUUUUGAUUUUUGACCAACUUAUUAAAAGCAAUGCUCAGCCUUAACCAUUCCUUUUGGCCUUACAUUUCACAUGAGCCCUCACCAUAAGUGAGCUCAUACACAUUAUUCCCCAAAACUUGUUAAGCGAUGAACAUAUGUGAGCUCACUCUUGAUAUACUCACACCGAGGUCAAGAAUAGGUACGAUAAGAUGAGGAGCAGAAAGGAUAAUACGAUGAGUUUGUGAGAGGUCUAGGUCAUCGUCUCCCAGUCAACUAUGGUUGCUGAGGAUCGUUGUCGUCAUAUGAUGUAAUUAUUUAGCUAUUUUGUACAGAACUUCUAUUAUAUGAUAAAGAUAUGACAUUGAUUUCUAUACCAUGAGUCAUCAUAUGUGUGAGACUUGAUCCCAACACACAUUUGAGAUGUGCCCGGGUUUGCUCUUAAAUCUGGACGUGACAACCAUACUUACUUCUCCCAGUGCUAAGAUAAGCAAUAGGACUAAAGAGAUACAUAUGUAGAAACUCCAAUGGUCUUGAUGUAGUCAUGACAUUUUUAGGUGAUGUCCUCCUCCAACCUGCUUCCCUACUUGGCAAGCUACACAAGGUCUAUCUUUCGCAAAACAUGCAUUCAUUAGUCCUAAAACAUGCUCACCAUUAAGAAGAUUAUGAAGGUUCUUCAUCCCGACAUGUGCUAGGAUACGAUGCCAUAGCCAACCCAUGUUGGUCUUUGCAAGUAAACAUGCAUCAAGUUUGGUGAUAUCGUUCGAAAAAUCUACUAUAUAAAGUUUUCCAUUAAGUACACCUUUAAAUGCAACAUAACCAUCACUUCUUCUAAAGACUUGUCACAUCAACAUCAGUAAAUAAACAGUUAUAGCCAAUGGAACAAAGUUGACUGACAAAUAGCAGGUUCUAAUCAAGAGAGUCUACCAGGAAGACAUUAGAAAUAGAAUGUUCGGUUGUGAUUGCAAUCUUACCCAACCCCUUUACCCUUGCCUUGAUUCUCGUCUCCAAAUAUGAUUGCAUUCUAGGAAUCUUUGUUUUUGACGUAGGAAGAAAACAUCCGAUUCUCCCCUAUCAUGUGAUUUGUGCAUCCACUAUCGAUAACCCAGCUUGAGCCCCCGGAUGCAUAAACCUGUAAAAAAAAUUAGGUUAGGAGUUUAGGUACCCAACUAGAGUUGGGUCCUGUCAGCUUAGUCAUAUAAGAUUUUGGCACCCAAACGCAAGUCUUACCACCCUUGCGCUUGGGUCCCACAUGAGAUGCAACUACUUUGCCUAAUUUAAAAUAGAUUACAUAAGAAGCAUCAAAAGUGCGGUAUGAAAUCGAAGGACCAUGAGAUGCAUUCCUAGCCUUAUGCACAUGAAUAAAUCUCGCAUGAGGAACAUUUUACCUAGGUCUACUCCUACCAUGAGCAAAAGAUAAACUAGAAGAAGCAAUCAUGGCAUGAGGAGUAUAAACACCAUUAUGAUCAAUACAAGCAUUGCGAACAUUCUUAACAUUAGUGUAAAUAAAAGAAUGAUUCUUGCAAACAUGAGAAGAAUGAGCACUACUAGCCAUAGGCACUUCCCCUUUUCCUUGAUAAACAUGGGGACCUCAUGGCUCUUUUUGUCUUUAGCUCCCUUUUGGAAGCCAAAACCAUCCUUAAUGGAGGGAUGUCUACCAACGAUGUAUGCUUUCCUAGCAAAUAUAACUUUCUCUAUGUCAUCUUUGCAAGUUUUAAGUUGAGCAUUUAAAUGGGCAACAUCAACAUUCAACUUAGCAAUGAUAAAUACAUGAUCAUUACAGGCAUUAACACCAAAAUCUUUGUAUCUAGUGCAAAUUGAUACAUGCUCAAGAGAUGAACUAGCAACAUGGCAUUCAUUCAAUUUAUCUAGCCUAUCAUUCAAAUCAUCAUUUGCAAUCUUAAGACUAGAAAUAGAUGAAUGACAAGAAGAUAGCUCAGCAGAUAACAACUCAUUCUUCUUAAUUUCUAAAGCAAGGGAUUUUUCUACAUCAACUAAUUUACCAUGCUCCUCAAAAAGUAAAUUCUCUUGGUUUUCUAUCAAUCUAUCCUUUUCAUUUAAAGCAUCAAUUACUUCAUUGAUUUUAGUAUUUUUUUGUUCUACAUAAGCCCUUAAAUAGAUUGAUAUAAUCAAUAUCAUCAUCCCUAGAAUGAGUAUACUUGGGUGUAUCUCUAGAAUAUACCUUCUUCUCCUUAGCCAUGAGACAAAUGUGAUGCUCAUUGGGGACAAGAGCCAAUUUGUUAAAAGCAGAGGCGGCGUGUCCCUCAUCGUCGGAGUCGAAGGAGGAGCCGUCUGAGUUCCACACCUUGCCAAUGUGUGCCUCGCCCUUCUUCUUCUUGUAGAAUUUCUUCUUUUCUACUUUCUUCCCCUUGGCGUUCUCGUCAUCAUCCUAGUCAUUCUCAUUAUCAGGACAAUUAGCUAUAAAAUGACCAUUCUUCCCGCAUUUGAAGCAGGCAUGCUUUCCCCUUGAUUUGCCCUUGUUGGAGAAGUCCUUGCACCCCUUGAGUGUGUUCUUUAAGCGUUUGAUGACAAGCACCAUUUCCUCAUCAUUGAGGUUGGUUGUUUGUCAUCAAAUGUCCCCAUAAUACUCAUAAUUAACGUUCAAACACUUAACUGACAUGAAUUAAACUUUAGAUAGAGAACCAAACAACCUUAGGGUUGAUUUGGUAAAAAAGGAAUUGGAUAGGAACCAUUCCUCUCCAUGAUUCCUAUCCUAUUCCUUUGUUACUAAACUAACUCUUAAGAGCUAGUUUGAAAACUCAAACCUACCUAUAAUUAGGAUUAGAGGUAAUUAAGGUGUUCCUCCUAUUUCAAACUUACCCUAAGACCAUCUCCAAGAGUAGAGGCAACCGUAGAUCCAUUUUUAAAAAUACCUCCCCUGUGUUGAAAUAGCAGGCUCCAACAGAUGAGCUAUUUUUGGCACGCCCAACGUAUCUAUCUGCUCCUCCAACAAAAACAUGGUUCUCUACCUCCUUGACGCAUCUCGUUCGCACCAACUGACUUCGUACUUCCAUGUGCUCGGGGAAGGUGUGGACGACAGCGCAGGCGACUCGACAACACAGGCGCAGCAACGUGGCGGCGCACGACAAGGCAGAAUGGCAACGCAGGGCGUACGACACGUUGUAGGCGCAUGGCAAAGCAACGUGAGUUGCAGGCGCGGCGACUUGACGGCGCAGGGCGGAGCAACGCCACACGCAGCGACGGGGCGCGCGAGGCACGACGACACGACAGCGUGAGGCACAUCGUCCUCUCCAAUCUUCUAUUGUGCAGGUCUGUUUGAGGUACAUUGCUAUAGUAAGAUGCAACCAAACUGAAAGAUGCAUGAUUUACUAGGAACUUGAGAAAGAACGGAGGAAAAGCCAAUAGCAUCAAAACCAUUAGAAAGUUCAGACUUAAGUAUUAUUCUUUUGUUCUUAAUAAAUUCGGUCAAGAAACACUAGGGAGUCGUCGGAGUAAACAAAGCAGACUGAAGAAAUCUAUGAGAAAAAGGAAUAGAUGCCCAACACAUUGAAGAACAGAUUAGAAGCCUAUUCGGCAGCACUAUUCCAAUUGCAACUGCACUUAGUACUAUGACGACAGAGCAUCUGUGAAGGGAGCACGACUACAACAACAACUAAAGUAGCGGAAUCAAUCAAGGACCAGGUUGAUUUAGUAAUGUGAAGGGAUUAUUAUCUCGUCCACCGAUGAACUGCGUUUGGAAGUAAAUGGCGGCGGCGGGAGUGGAACUCGCUAGAGAACGAUCUGCGUUUGGAAGUAAAUGGCGGGAGCAAAAUUCGCUGGAGGGCAAACUGCAUUUGGAAGUAACUGUCCUUAUAAUGCCUAUGUUGGAUUGGGUUGACUGUUAGAGUAAUUAUAUAUAUAUAUAUAUAGGGCAGGUAUAACGGGAGCCCUGGGCUUCGGAUAUUAAAGGAAGCCCAGGUCGGUUCCGAGGUCUGGUCGCUGGGACAGGCACGCCUGUGUUUAACGUGGGGCUGAGAGGCGGCAUGCAGGACAGACGGCGCCGUUACGCGGUUGUUUGAAUGGCAAGGCGGUAAACAUAAGGGAAUGGCGCAGAAUUAAAGGGAAUAGUUUCCACAUGCAAACGUUAUUACUAUGAUAUGUGGACGCGUAAUUUAUGGAUCUUGCAUGGGAAGUAAUGCGCGGAAGGUAAAAAAAUGUAGCAUAAGAUGGUGAAAGCUAUGGCAUAAAACCGAAACGACAUAAUAGUUGCAUAAAUAGUAUAUACCGUUUGGCGUAAAACGUUGAGUCAUUGUGCGUAAAUAUUUUAUUAUGGAUUUUAGUUUGACAUUGACAUCGCCAUAAUAUCGGGACGGUUUCGGAAAUAAUUGGGAGACCCUGUAAACGUGGAUGCAGUUACUUUUAUAGUAUCCGAGAUUAACUUUCAUUCGAAAAAAAAGACCACUAAGCCUGCAUAACUAAUCGGAGUUGGAGAUGGCCGGCUCUGGAGAGUCGUCGGUGAUGGAAGGAUAUGGCGUUCGUCUUGAUCCAGAGACAGAGGGAGGAGUUGGUGGUAACUCACUGGUGACACCACCUCCUGCUCUACUGGGUCCUGAGAUCGCCGAGAUGAGCAUAGGGGAAGAAGGAGAACAAAGGGUUCGACCUCCUAUGUCCAAUAUUAGCUCCAGGGAGAUGGAUACGCCACAAAUACUGCAUUCACAUGUAAGUCCAAUCGCUGUAUUUGAUUAUUGAUUGAAUAUAUUGUUGUGAAUAUAUUCCAUGGUACAAACAACAAUGACAAUGAAAUAGCAGGCAAAAAACAUUGAUCCAACUAUAGUGCCAACGGUAGGGAUGACUUUCAAGGAUGUUGAUGAUGCAUAUAAAUUCUAUAAAAGGUAUGCAUAUGAAGUUGGAUUUCCACUGAAGAAAUACAGAGAGAAGACAUUCAGUAAGUGGAUAAAUUGUUCACGUGAAGGUAAAAGUGCACUAAAAUCAAAUGAUACACCUAGGAUGAGGAAUAGGUCAUCGGGGCGUACACAAUGUAAAGCUGGAAUAAAAUUAAAAAAAAUAUAUGAUGAUGAAAAAAAUGGUUGUAGCUGCAAAAAUUGAACUCGUAAACUUGGAGCAUAAUCAUGAGUUCAUAACUGACGAAGCAGAGAAACAACAUUUACGUUGCAACAAAAUUAGGGAUGCUGAGUUCAUAAAUUUUGUGGAUGCAAUGCAUGAUAGCCGAGUGCCGCAGCAUUGCAUAGUUGAUUUUAUAUCAGAAAUGCAUGAUGGGCCGGAGAACGUACCGGUAACUGCUCGAUCUGAAAAACAUGUAAGCAAUACUUUUUUGUUACAUGUGUAUAUAUUAAGAGCCAUAAAUAUUACUAUAGUAAAUGUGUGUGUAAUAAUUUUUUGUGCAAACAAAUGUAGGAGGGCAGCCAGGAGAAGAGAAAACUGCGCAAAUGAUGUAGCCAAACUUUUGGCUUUCUUUAGAGAAUGCAAGAAACAAAAUCCACAAUUUUUUUGUGAUUUCCAGCUAGACAAUGAUGGGAAAAUAGUGAGUAUUUUUUGGUCACACGCAAGUAUGCAGGGGGAAUACGCAGAUUAUGGUGAUGCUGUGACAUUUGAUACAACACACAAGACAAAUAUAUAUGAUAAACCACUGGGCAUGUUUGUUGGAGCUAACAACCAUCUGCAGUGUACAGUGUUUGGAUUUGUUUUGUUGGGAGAUGAAACAGUACAGACUUUUGAAUGGGCUUUCAAUUCAUUCAAAACAUGUAUGGGAUGCGAGGGUCCAAGAGUUAUGCUUACAGGUAUGUGAUAUAUCAAUUUGUUAUGCAAAACAGUGAAUUAAUUUAUUGUGAAAAUAACUGAAUAAUUUGUGAGAAAUUGCAGAUCAAGAUCCUGCAAUGCCAAUUGCUCUAAGAACUGUAUUUCCAAAAACAGUUCACAGACUGUGUUUAUGGCAUGUACAUAACAGAUUUAUGUCAUUCCUAAAUGAGAUAUAUGCAAGGUUUGCUGUUAAGGAUUUUAAAACAACAUUCCAGUCUAUUAUAGAUCAUCCAUUAACUCCUCAUGAAUUUGAAUGUGCCUGGGAAAUGAUGCUAGAGGAGUUCAAUCUUCAUGAAGAUAUGACUCUACGCAAAUUAUAUGAAAUAAGAAAAGAAUGGAUACCUGCAUUUUUUAAAAAUGACUUCUGUGGGGUAAUGGUAUCUACACAACGAAGUGAGAGCAUGAACAGAUUAGUGAAGCAAUCACAUGUAGAUGCGAACACCCCACUGCAUGAGUUCGCUAAACAAAUGAUGAAAAUGUUGCACAGCAGGAAAAUGAAAGAAUCAAAGGAGGCAUUGGUGAGCAAGGUAUGUCGUGCUUGUUAUCAAUAACGUUUGGCAUACAUUUAUGUAAAUAAUGUGUUUAGUUAUGAUAAUAAUGUGUUAUUGGGACCAAGAACAACAGAUACAUUGUAUAGGUUCGAAGUGAGAGUCUCUAGAGCAUACACCAGAGCUGUUAUGAAUAGAUUUGAGGAAUCAAUGAAAUACGCCACUGCAUACAAAAUAUUAAAGGACCCAGACGGAUGUGAUAAUGAAUGGAUCGUACAGCAUACAAAAAGGUCUAAUAAAAUUGUGUGGGGACAACAUCAAUUCAAGAUAACAGCGGACAUAGAAGCUGGGGAGUAUACAUGCGAGUGCAAACAGUGGGAACAUACAGGUCUAUUGUGUGUUCAUCUUUUAAGAGCCUUCAUGCAUCUUCAAGUUGAAAAGAUACCUUCAAAAUAUAUAUUGCAAAGGAAGAAGAGUUGAAUAAAAAUAAUGCUGGCGAUGGGAUGGAAGAUGACAAUACAAUUACAUGCCAUAACAAGGAUGAGCAUAACACCAUGACUGGAUGUGAACAUGCGUUAACAAUAAUAACAACUAGUAACCAGGAGGACAACAUGAGAAUUUCACAUGAGGUUGGUGAUACAAGUUCUCCAUGUCACGUAGCACAUGAACAAAUGGAACAUAUUGCUGCAUCCUCAGAAGCUAAAAAGAGGUUGAAUUUUAAUGUGGAUGUUAUAAAUCUGAGUAUGCCGGAUCGUGCAAGACCAAAAGGAUGGACAAUCAAAAAUUCAGAAGAUAGGAUUAUGAGACUAGGUGCGAAAGGAGAGAAAAAGAAGAAUAGGAGAUGCCAAUUGUGUGGUAUAGCAGAUGGACAUAACAGCAGAACAUGUCUAUCUGUGGAAGAGAACAGGGCAAGGCUAGCAAAACUGGCUAAUCGAAAGAGAGGACGACCAGUCGGAUCAAGACUAAACAAUAAAACAACUGCUCCACAGUGGAAUGAAACAUCGACUGCUAAAAAACAUCGUAUUGAUGAAGAAGUGGAAAAUGAAGAAGCCGAUGAGCAUAUGGAUUUGGGCGAAUAAUUUGAAGUGUGACUAAAGAGUGGUCGAUUUAGUAGAAACUUGUAAUAGCACAAUGACUUAUGCUUUAGUUUGUUGGAAAUUAAAUAGUUUGCAUG